UCGUGCUAGACGGGGAGGUAGCGGUGCCCUAUACCUGCAAUCCGCUAUAGCGGGGUUGAAUUCCUAUUAUAGGCUUUAUUCCUGUAGGGUCAGCCCUUCGCAAGUGACAAUGAAAACCGGGUCUUACGCAACGGAACCCUGUGAACCCCGUCAGGUUCGGAAGAAAGCAGCGGUAAGCAGGCACUUUCGUGUGCCGUAGGGUUGCCUGGUUAGAGUUAACUGCGGAGGUUACGCUUGUAGGAGUAAGUCAACGAUAGGUGCACGG
rnacentral:SRP_RNA from 1 species